ACGCCAGCAGGUGAGGAGGCUGGGGCCAGAUGACAGCUAGUGAGGGAGCAGAGACAAGACGGGCGAGCCUGUGACAGAGUGAGACCCUGUCUCAAAAAACAAAAACAAGACAUGUGAGCUUGGACUCCAGUGUGGAAUCCCGUGUCCACUCAGCGCACCUUUCUGCUGCUGAAAAUACAAGUGGAGAGGGGAAACCCACAGGUGGAGCUGACCAUGAGGACUGUCACAGCUUUGAGAGGCAAACCCAGAAAUCAGCCCUCCAGCUUCCUCUACCAAGAAGACUGGCAGUUACAACCCUGGCUCUGUGGGGCUUCUCUUGCCAUGUCUUCUGACUGCCCCACUUGGAUCCAGGUGAGGGUGAGAGGAAGCUGGAGAUGGAAGGUGCAGCCGGGGGAACCCACCAGGCAGGUCCCAGGGAACUCUUUGAAUAAGAGGACACCAGAUCACGCCUGCAGUUCCAGCCCAGGAGCAGCUAGCACCAGCCUCAGCAUGGAGCAGGACUUCAGCUCCAGCAGCGAGGACUGAGAUUGGACACAAGAGAAAGCUCCCUGAUGAGGAGGGGUGAUUGUAAAAUGAAGGGCGGAAGUUAUCUGGAAUUUCCUUCCCAUGAAGUGUCAGGAACAUGCCAGUCCCUCACAUCAGUCUGUCCUGGGGGGUCUCAGGCCCCUGUCCUCCUAGGGAAAUCUAGAUCCUCCAAACUCUGCCUGGGUUCUUCCUGGGGAGUCUUGACCCCUGCCUUGCGGUUGAUGUGGGAUGGGGGACCCGGGAACAGGGCUGCCUUCCUCUGGCCAAAGCCUGGCAAGCAAGCGUGGGAUGGGUGCUGUCUUCCUGAGAGGGACAAUAGGAGAAGUGAUGGAGCCCCCUAAAUCAAGACCCUGCAGAGGUGGUGUGAGAUCUUAUAAUAUCAGUCUCUAAGCCAGUGCCUCUCAAGCUCUCUGUGGUGAAUAAUCGAUUUUUAAAAUAUAUAAUCAGUCACAGAUCAAUGCUUUUGUAAAAUGCAAUAAAAGUUAAUUUCCAAAAAAA
rnacentral:lncRNA from 1 species